UGUUCAGAUUAGUUCUUCAAAAAGAAGCCCCAGAGAACUGACGUUACCUCAGGUUCACUGAAAUCCUCUUUCUCUCAAGGAUUAUACUUGAAUUUGAAGCCAGUCUCCUGAAAGCCUCAGGCAGGUGGUCAACUUUGCUAGUGUGCGCCUUGCUGAGCACACAGGUGUUUCUGGACCCUUUUUCGAGUCUGGUUUUUCUGCAAGCCGAGUCUAUAUCUUUGGCACCAAUGGCGGCUGCCUCAGGCCCCCUCGGAGGUGGAGGGAAUGAGACCAGCAUUCAAAGAGAAGCAGAGACAGAGCAGAUAAGACACGUGCAAGAAAGAAAAAGCCAGCUGCUGCGAAGUCCCAGCAGCUCAUACUUAGUGUUUGCAGAUCCCUCCAGUAUCUAAGGACUUCCCUGGUGGCUCAGAUGGUAAAGCAUCU
rnacentral:lncRNA from 1 species